UUAGGGGUAUACUUCAGUGGUAGAGGACAUGCUUAGCAUGUGAGAGGCUCUGAGUUCAAUCCUCAGCACCAAAA
rnacentral:tRNA from 1 species